GAUGUACUCCCUCUGUCCGAAAAUUCUUGUCUUAGAUUUGUCUAGAUACGGAUGUAUCUAAUACUAAAACGUGACUUGAUACAUUCGUAUUUAGACAAAUCUAAGACAAGAAUUUUGGGACGGAGGGAGUAGCUU
rnacentral:pre_miRNA from 1 species